AUGAAACUGAGGUAUAAAAAGAAUAAUCCUAAAAUAGUUUUUCGUGGUAAGAAUCUUAUAACAUUUUCUUUCAAUUAUUUUACAUUCAUUAAAGAUGUACAGACUCUGGAGGAGCUGAGUUUAUGUGUGCUGUCUCGGCUGGAGGAAGUGGUAAAGGAAAAGCAUCACUGGAGGGAGAUUACUGAGGCCCAAGUGCAGCUGCUCAGAGACUUUGCCUUCCAGGAGUGGCUUUGUUCCCAGAGCCUGGAGCACUACUAUCACACCCUGAAGACCCUGGGCUGCACUACCCUGGAUGAUCUAGCACAGUUUGACAGCCAGCUUCAGCUUUCUCUAGCAGCAUGGGGCUAUUACUAUGAGGAUUACAUCAAACUGUCCACAGGUGUGAGGGUCCUCCAGGCAUCUAAGGGAAGUAGAGAUCAAGAAUACGAGAUUCAGCUGGUGCACUGCCUUGCUGAGAGGCGGCUGAAUGAGAAGUGGUCUUUUGCAGGAGCUCUGAUAUUUGGCUCUACCAUUGCCCUGUGCUUUCUGAUAAGGGACCUCAUGUUUUACGUGAUUGCAAGGUGA
rnacentral:lncRNA from 1 species